GGUUAAGCGACUAAGCGUACACGGUGGAUGCCCUGGCAGUCAGAGGCGAUGAAGGGCGUGCUAAUCUGCGAUAAGCGCCGGUAAGGUGAUAUGAACCAUUAUAACCGGCGAUACCCGAAUGGGGAAACCCAGUGUGACUCGUCACACUAUCAUUAACUGAAUCCAUAGGUUAAUGAGGCGAACCGGGGGAACUGAAACAUCUAAGUACCCCGAGGAAAAGAAAUCAACCGAGAUUCCCCCAGUAGCGGCGAGCGAACGGGGAGGAGCCCAGAGCCUGAAUCAGCAUGUGUGUUAGUGGAAGCGUCUGGAAAGGCGCGCGAUACAGGGUGACAGCCCCGUACACAAAAGCGCAUGUGCUGUGAGCUCGAUGAGUAGGGCGGGACACGUGGUAUCCUGUCUGAAUAUGGGGGGACCAUCCUCCAAGGCUAAAUACUCCUGACUGACCGAUAGUGAACCAGUACCGUGAGGGAAAGGCGAAAAGAACCCCGGCGAGGGGAGUGAAAAAGAACCUGAAACCGUGUACGUACAAGCAGUGGGAGCACAGGUUUACCUGUGUGACUGCGUACCUUUUGUAUAAUGGGUCAGCGACUUAUAUUCUGUAGCAAGGUUAACCGUAUAGGGGAGCCGUAGGGAAACCGAGUCUUAACCGGGCGUUAAGUUGCAGGGUAUAGACCCGAAACCCGGUGAUCUAGCCAUGGGCAGGUUGAAGGUUGGGUAACACUAACUGGAGGACCGAACCGACUAAUGUUGAAAAAUUAGCGGAUGACCUGUGGCUGGGGGUGAAAGGCCAAUCAAACCGGGAGAUAGCUGGUUCUCCCCGAAAGCUAUUUAGGUAGCGCCUCGUGAAUUCAUCUCCGGGGGUAGAGCACUGUUUCGGCUAGGGGGCCAUCCCGGCUUACCAACCCGAUGCAAACUGCGAAUACCGGAGAAUGUUAUCACGGGAGACACACGGCGGGUGCUAACGUCCGUCGUGAAGAGGGAAACAACCCAGACCGCCAGCUAAGGUCCCAAAGUCAUGGUUAAGUGGGAAACGAUGUGGGAAGGCCCAGACAGCCAGGAUGUUGGCUUAGAAGCAGCCAUCAUUUAAAGAAAGCGUAAUAGCUCACUGGUCGAGUCGGCCUGCGCGGAAGAUGUAACGGGGCUAAACCAUGCACCGAAGCUGCGGCAGCGACGCUGAUGCGUUGUUGGGUAGGGGAGCGUUCUGUAAGCCUGUGAAGGUGGCCUGUGAGGGUUGCUGGAGGUAUCAGAAGUGCGAAUGCUGACAUAAGUAACGAUAAAGCGGGUGAAAAGCCCGCUCGCCGGAAGACCAAGGGUUCCUGUCCAACGUUAAUCGGGGCAGGGUGAGUCGACCCCUAAGGCGAGGCCGAAAGGCGUAGUCGAUGGGAAACGGGUUAAUAUUCCCGUACUUGGUGUUACUGCGAAGGGGGACGGAGAAGGCUAUGUUGGCCGGGCGACGGUUGUCCCGGUUUAAGCGUGUAGGUGUGUGUUCCAGGUAAAUCCGGUUCACUUUAACACUGAGGCGUGAUGACGAGGCACUACGGUGCUGAAGCAACAAAUGCCCUGCUUCCAGGAAAAGCCUCUAAGCAUCAGGUAACAUCAAAUCGUACCCCAAACCGACACAGGUGGUCAGGUAGAGAAUACCAAGGCGCUUGAGAGAACUCGGGUGAAGGAACUAGGCAAAAUGGUGCCGUAACUUCGGGAGAAGGCACGCUGACACGUAGGUGAAGUGAUUUACUCAUGGAGCUGAAGUCAGUCGAAGAUACCAGCUGGCUGCAACUGUUUAUUAAAAACACAGCACUGUGCAAACACGAAAGUGGACGUAUACGGUGUGACGCCUGCCCGGUGCCGGAAGGUUAAUUGAUGGGGUCAGCGCAAGCGAAGCUCCUGAUCGAAGCCCCGGUAAACGGCGGCCGUAACUAUAACGGUCCUAAGGUAGCGAAAUUCCUUGUCGGGUAAGUUCCGACCUGCACGAAUGGCGUAAUGAUGGCCAGGCUGUCUCCACCCGAGACUCAGUGAAAUUGAACUCGCUGUGAAGAUGCAGUGUACCCGCGGCAAGACGGAAAGACCCCGUGAACCUUUACUAUAGCUUGACACUGAACAUUGAGCCUUGAUGUGUAGGAUAGGUGGGAGGCUUUGAAGCGUGGACGCCAGUCUGCAUGGAGCCGGCCUUGAAAUACCACCCUUUAAUGUUUGAUGUUCUAACGUGGACCCGUGAUCCGGGUUGCGGACAGUGUCUGGUGGGUAGUUUGACUGGGGCGGUCUCCUCCUAAAGAGUAACGGAGGAGCACGAAGGUUGGCUAAUCCUGGUCGGACAUCAGGAGGUUAGUGCAAUGGCAUAAGCCAGCUUGACUGCGAGCGUGACGGCGCGAGCAGGUGCGAAAGCAGGUCAUAGUGAUCCGGUGGUUCUGAAUGGAAGGGCCAUCGCUCAACGGAUAAAAGGUACUCCGGGGAUAACAGGCUGAUACCGCCCAAGAGUUCAUAUCGACGGCGGUGUUUGGCACCUCGAUGUCGGCUCAUCACAUCCUGGGGCUGAAGUAGGUCCCAAGGGUAUGGCUGUUCGCCAUUUAAAGUGGUACGCGAGCUGGGUUUAGAACGUCGUGAGACAGUUCGGUCCCUAUCUGCCGUGGGCGCUGGAGAACUGAGGGGGGCUGCUCCUAGUACGAGAGGACCGGAGUGGACGCAUCACUGGUGUUCGGGUUGUCAUGCCAAUGGCACUGCCCGGUAGCUAAAUGCGGAAGAGAUAAGUGCUGAAAGCAUCUAAGCACGAAACUUGCCCCGAGAUGAGUUCUCCCUGAGACUUAGAGUCUCCUGAAGGAACGUUGAAGACGACGACGUUGAUAGGCCGGGUGUGUAAGCGCAGCGAUGCGUUGAGCUAACCGGUACUAAUGAACCGUGAGGCUUAACCUU
rnacentral:rRNA from 1 species